AAGGAGGAUCUGUAUGCAACCAAGAGGUGGAGACGAGUUCAGUAUCUGAUAGAACAGUUCUGGAGUCGUUGGAAAAGAGAGUAUCUGCUCAAUAUAUCCACAAGACAGAAAUGGCAUAUACCCCAACGCAACCUCAAAGUGAAUGAUAUCGUUAUUAUCAAAGAUGACAACCUCCCGAGAAACCAGUGGCAACUAGGUCGAGUGGUGGAGGCUGCUCAAGGCAGUGAGGGCCUAGUUCGUCGAGUCAAAGUGCAAGUUGGGGAACGAAAAUCUCAAGAAAAACAAAAUGCCCCCAUUAAACCUUCAGUUAUUGAGCGACCAGUUCAAAAAUUGGUACUUCUCUUAGAGAGCUGAUUUCAACAAACUGAGUGGCAAUUUGUGAGUACGCUGCUGUAUUGUGUAUGAUCUAUACCUAUGCACAUUUAAUAGCACUGCUUGAAGUUAUUCGUUUAGUAGGUUCAAGAAAUCCUGUGUAAAUUCAUUUACUCCUGUAUUAGUUCAUUCAUUACAACAGGAUUUGGUGGGAGUGUAAAUGCCUACUAAAUGUGAUGAACAUUCUCCUUUUAUAGUGAGUGUUUAUAUGUGGCUCCGGGUGUGCUCGCAACUUUCAGUUUGUUCUUGCCGUGUUGCGCUUUUAUUUUGAAAGGUUAUGUUUACGGUUGCCAUGCCAACACUCUGCCGCCGUCUGGUUUGGCUCUACGUGUAGAUAACGUUGUGAGGUGGAAGACGAAGAAAGCCAAGUGUGCAGAGCUCGCUAGCGGAGAGGUCCGGGUCUAAAACUUGAUUAGCGCCCUUGGAGAGCGGAAUGAGUUUUCACGGUGUCAAGAUGGCAAAGUGUCACAGUACCACUGUCUGGUGCUUACCAAAGGAAGAGAAAUAAACGACACCCGUUUGAAACUCUACGUGUUUGGUUUAUACCAUCCAAGGGGCCG